AUUGAACGCUGGCGGCAUGCUUUACACAUGCAAGUCGAACGGUCACAGGCCGCAAGGUGCUGACGAGUGUCGCACGGGUGCGUAAUGCAUAGGAACGUGCCCAGUCGUGGGGGAUAACUACUCGAAAGAGUAGCUAAUACCGCAUACGAGCUAUGGAUGACAGCGGGGGGCCGUAAUGCUUCGCGCGAUUGGUGCGGCCGAUGUCAGAUUAGCUAGUUGGUGAGGUAAAGGCUCACCAAGGCAACGAUGUGUAGCCGACCUGAGAGGACGAUCAGCCACACUGGAACUGAGACACGGCCCAGACUCCUACGGGAGGCAGCAGUAGGGAAUCUUCCGCAAAGGGCGAAAGCCUGACGGAGCAACGCCGCGUGAGUGAUGAAGGUCUUCGGAUCGUAAAACUCUGUUAUUAGGGAAGAAACAAUGUGUAAGUAACUCUGCACGUAUUGACGGUACCUAAUCAGAAAGCCACGGCUAACUACGUG
rnacentral:rRNA from 1 species